rnacentral:lncRNA from 1 species
CUCUCUAUGUGACACAAAAAAAAUAAAAAAUUGCAAAGCCCUCGGGCCCCAGGCCCGUCGACUCCCCACCCCACCUUCGCUUGGCCUCCACACGGCUGGACCUCUCUCCACCGACCCUCGGGCCCUUUGUCCUCGCCUGUCACCCGAGCAACCAGCCUCCACUGGAGUUGCUCUAAUAUGGGGCCGCGAAGGCCACGUAUCGUUGUCGGUACGCUGCAGCCGAACCCACCGGCCCUCGGGCCUUUCCUCUCGCCUGUUCCCCGAGCAAGGUCCAACGGUGGACUUGCUCUUAAUCUUAGCAGCUCCGGCGCACAUUAGCAUUGGGCGGCGCCAAAAUAUGCCCGUUGCCACCAAAAUAUUAAAUUAUGAAUCUAUUUACUAUUUAUAAAAAUAAAAAAUUGAAAAAAAACUAAUCUAAUAAGAUUACAUUCCAAUCAUAUUUUCCAAAAACAAAUAAAAAAAAUUAAAAAAAGGGAAUUAUCCGUACUUUCACAGAAAAUUGAGAACGCAUUGCUACUCGGGGAUGGAAACCAGAACAGGCCGCCAAGAUCGUUUCAGCAACCUAUUUCGAAACGACAACCCUCCGCCUCGCCGAGUCGGAAACCUACCGGCACCGCCACCACUUCCGGUUUCCGAUAACAACCCUCGCUCUUCUUCUCCGUCCACAAUUCCUCGACCUCUCCUAUCCGAAACACUAUCUUCGAACGGCGGCGACGACACGAAGAGGUCCUUGAGCUUGCNNNNNNN